UUGAACGCUGGCGGCAGGCCUAACACAUGCAAGUCGAGCGGUAGCACAGAGAGCUUGCUCUCGGGUGACGAGCGGCGGACGGGUGAGUAAUGUCUGGGAAACUGCCUGAUGGAGGGGGAUAACUACUGGAAACGGUAGCUAAUACCGCAUAAUGUCGCAAGACCAAAGUGGGGGACCUUCGGGCCUCAUGCCAUCAGAUGUGCCCAGAUGGGAUUAGCUAGUAGGUGGGGUAACGGCUCACCUAGGCGACGAUCCCUAGCUGGUCUGAGAGGAUGACCAGCCACACUGGAACUGAGACACGGUCAGACUCCUACGGGAGGCAGCAGUGGGGAAUAUUGCACAAUGGGCGCAAGCCUGAUGCAGCCAUGCCGCGUGUGUGAAGAAGGCCUUCGGGUUGUAAAGCACUUUCAGCGGGGAGGAAGGCGUUAAGGUUAAUAACCUUGGCGAUUGACGUUACCCGCAGAAGAAGCACCGGCUAACUCCGUGCCAGCAGCCGCGGUAAUACGGAGGGUGCAAGCGUUAAUCGGAAUUACUGGGCGUAAAGCGCACGCAGGCGGUCUGUCAAGUCGGAUGUGAAAUCCCCGGGCUCAACCUGGGAACUGCAUUCGAAACUGGCAGGCUAGAGUCUUGUAGAGGGGGGUAGAAUUCCAGGUGUAGCGGUGAAAUGCGUAGAGAUCUGGAGGAAUACCGGUGGCGAAGGCGGCCCCCUGGACAAAGACUGACGCUCAGGUGCGAAAGCGUGGGGAGCAAACAGGAUUAGAUACCCUGGUAGUCCACGCCGUAAACGAUGUCGAUUUGGAGGUUGUGCCCUUGAGGCGUGGCUUCCGGAGCUAACGCGUUAAAUCGACCGCCUGGGGAGUACGGCCGCAAGGUUAAAACUCAAAUGAAUUGACGGGGGCCCGCACAAGCGGUGGAGCAUGUGGUUUAAUUCGAUGCAACGCGAAGAACCUUACCUGGUCUUGACAUCCACAGAACUUUCCAGAGAUGGAUUGGUGCCUUCGGGAACUGUGAGACAGGUGCUGCAUGGCUGUCGUCAGCUCGUGUUGUGAAAUGUUGGGUUAAGUCCCGCAACGAGCGCAACCCUUAUCCUUUGUUGCCAGCGGUUAGGCCGGGAACUCAAAGGAGACUGCCAGUGAUAAACUGGAGGAAGGUGGGGAUGACGUCAAGUCAUCAUGGCCCUUACGACCAGGGCUACACACGUGCUACAAUGGCAUAUACAAAGAGAAGCGACCUCGCGAGAGCAAGCGGACCUCAUAAAGUAUGUCGUAGUCCGGAUUGGAGUCUGCAACUCGACUCCAUGAAGUCGGAAUCGCUAGUAAUCGUAGAUCAGAAUGCUACGGUGAAUACGUUCCCGGGCCUUGUACACACCGCCCGUCACACCAUGGGAGUGGGUUGCAAAAGAAGUAGGUAGCUUAACCUUCGGGAGGGCGCUUACCACUUUGUGAUUCAUGACUGGGGUG
rnacentral:rRNA from 1 species